GACGAACGCUGGCGGCGUGCUUAACACAUGCAAGUCGAACGGAAAGGCCCUGCUUGCAGGGUGCUCGAGUGGCGAACGGGUGAGUAACACGUGGGUGAUCUGCCCCUUAUUUUGGGAUAAGCCUGGGAAACUGGGUCUAAUACUGGAUAGGGCCAUGCUGUAGGUGGUGUGGUGGAAAGAUUAGUUUCGGUAAGGGAUGAGCUCGCGGCCUAUCAGCUUGUUGGUGGGGUAAUGGCCUACCAAGGCGUCGACGGGUAGCCGGCCUGAGAGGGUGGACGGCCACAUUGGGACUGAGAUACGGCCCAGACUCCUACGGGAGGCAGCAGUGGGGAAUAUUGCACAAUGGGCGCAAGCCUGAUGCAGCGACGCCGCGUGGGGGAUGACGGCCUUCGGGUUGUAAACUCCUUUCAGCCAUGACGAAGCCCUUGUGGUGACGGUAGUGGUAGAAGAAGCACCGGCUAACUACGUG
rnacentral:rRNA from 1 species